rnacentral:piRNA from 1 species
UNCUCAAAGGGUUGGUUAGCCUAGAUUCU